rnacentral:rRNA from 1 species
UACGUAGGGUGCAAGCGUUGUCCGGAAUUAUUGGGCGUAAAGAGCUCGUAGGCGGUCUGUUGCGUCGGCUGUGAAAACCCGGGGCUCAACUCCGGGCCCGCAGCCGAUACGGGCAGACUAGAGUUCGGCAGGGGAGACUGGAAUUCCUGGUGUAGCGGUGAAAUGCGCAGAUAUCAGGAGGAACACCGGUGGCGAAGGCGGGUCUCUGGGCCGAUACUGACGCUGAGGAGCGAAAGCGUGGGGAGCGAACAGG